GGGUGAUUACGGGCCAGCAGCAGCAGUGAUACGGAGGUGGUAAGUGUUGGGCGGAUUUCUUGGGCGUGAAGCGAGCGCAGGCGGUUCCUUAAGUCGGAUGUGAAAGCCCACGGCUCAACCGUGGAAGGUCAUUGGAAACUGGGGAACUUGAGUGCAGAAGAGGAGAGUGGAAUUCCAUGUGUGGCGGUGAAAUGCGUAGAUAUAUGGGGGAACACCAGUGGCGAAGGCGACUCUCUGGUCUGUAACUGACGCUGAGGCUCGAAAGCGUGGGGAGCAAACAGGAUUAGAACCCGAGUAGUC
rnacentral:rRNA from 1 species